UUGCUAAUGACUUAUGGGCGCCAAUUGCCGUCCCUAGAGCCAGGAAAGACGUAGUCGAAUUUGGUCCGUGCGUGAAACGAAGGAUAUAGAGAAGAACACGAUGCUCUUCUUCGUUCAAUCAUCUUUAUGACUACUUCUUCUUUACUUCCGUUCAUUCAAUUUCUUUUCAAUUUUGCCCCUGCUCCUCAUCCUCUUCCUACUACUGCUCCUCCUAUUAAAUUUCUGAAGAAUAACAGCCAAUCAAUCAAUCAGUAUUAACUAAAAAAAUAGCUCUCUCUCGCUCUGAAGAAGAAUUGAUUGCUAAACAAAUGUCAGGUGAAGCGGCGGCGUCGUCUUCUGGAGUGGUUUUACAAGGACUCGACGAUGUUGAGGAAUUCAUUUGGGUAAAUGAAGGAGAGGGUUCGUUGCCAUGGGACCGAUUCAGUCAUGUUUUUGAUCUUGUGCAAAAUGGAAACAAGGCAUUCCGGGAGAAUCGUUUUGAGGAGGCAAUCAAUUAUUACUCAAGAGCCAAUAACAUUAAACCCGGUGAUCCUAUUAUUCUUGGCAACCGUAGUGCUGCUUAUAGCAGGGUCAGCCAUUUCCUGAAACAGAGACCUGCAUCCACGUCUGAGGACACACCAUUAAAUGGGCUGGAUCCUACUAUACAUGCUGAACUUGCAUUGAAGGAUGCCGAGAAGGUAAUAAACCUCAGAAACAAUUCAGUGAAUCCAUGCAUCUUAAAGGCCAAUGCUCUUAUAUUGCUGGAAAAGUAUGAGUUGGCUCAGGAUGUUGUUCUUUCAGGUCUUCAGGUUGAUCCUUUCAGCAAUCCUCUUCGUGUUUCCUUACGGAAUUUGGAGAGAAUGCUGGGCAGUAUGAUGAGUAAAAGUCUUGGGAAACCAGAACGUAGUGAUGAAUUUGAUUGCACUCUCUGCCUGAAGUUACUAUUUGAACCUAUUACAACUCCCUGUGGGCAUUCCUUUUGCCGCUCAUGUCUUUUCCAGUCAAUGGAUCGUGGUAACAAAUGCCCAUUGUGUCGAACAGUUCUCUUUAUCAGCCCUAGAACAUGUUCAAUCAGUGUGACCCUAAACAACAUUAUACAGAAGAACUUCCCAGAGGAAUACGCUGAAAGGAAGUCCGAGCAUGAUUGUUUGACAAACUUUGGUGUUGAUUUGAUCCCUCUUUUUGUCAUGGAUGCUGUUAUCCCGUGUCAGAAGUUUCCACUCCACAUAUUUGAACCACGAUACAGACUGAUGGUCAGGAGGAUCAUGGAAGGAAAUCAUCGGAUGGGAAUGGUUAUCAUCGAUUCUGCUUCAGGCUCGAUAGCUGAUUUGGCUUGCGAGGUGGAGAUUACUGAGUGUGAACCACUUCCAGAUGGGCGCUUCUAUCUAGAGGUUGAAAGUCGCCGAAGAUUUAGAAUCCUUCAAUCUUGGGAUCAAGAUGGGUAUCGUGUUGCAGAGAUAGAAUGGGUACAGGAUAAUUCACCUGAAGGGCUGGAACAGAGAACCAAAAUGCAGGAACUUACAAAUAGCGCAGCAGAAUAUGCUCAGUCAUGGUUAAGGAGGGCAAAGGAAGCUGCAAGACAAGAUCGAAGAAGACUUGAGAAAUUUCUUAAUGUGGAAGCAAUGAUGCCCAUGCCAUUGGAUCCUGAACGCUUCAGUUUCUGGCUCGCUACUUUAACAGAUAGGAGACCUCACGAAAGAUUGCAGCUCCUUCGUCUAAGGGAUACAACAGAGAGGAUAAGACGAGGACUGUUAUAUCUUAGAACAGCAGAACAAGGCUGCAGGAUGCAGUGAUAAUAGGUUUCUCCUAUUCGUCCCCUGUAGCAUCUCAAGUUGUUUGUCUUGAAGAGAAAUGGUUAAAAGGAGGUUGAGGUCGCUGCGAAACUGAAGGCUGCUUUGAGGGAUUGAUUUUGUGGAUCUAUAAGAGUUUGAUCUGAACUUUGGGCCGAAACCUUCAACUUAUUUUUGGUUGCUGAAUCUAUCGCUUGCGUUAAUAUUAAUCAAUUAACGUACUGCUUUCCGAUACCUGUUUUCUGAAGCCAAUGAAGAGGUACAAACUUGUGUUGAUUCCAUUUCUGAGAAUGCUACUUCGGUUUCUUCUUCUUCUGGACUCCCUUUAUAUCGCGGCGCUAGGAUUUUGACGGCUGAUUGAACGUGUACAUUUUACUUCACUCGUCCAGGGUGGCAUUGGGUUCGUUUUUACCUUCACUCGUGUUAGGUCACAGUCAAAGCUAUUACAAUUGCUGAGUAGAUAGAAUUCUAUGCAUGGUGAGAAUGAACCACAGUAAUUGACUUUGAAUAAGACUUGCUUUAUUACUGCAUAA